rnacentral:rRNA from 1 species
ACGAACGCUGGCGGCGUGCCUAACACAUGCAAGUCGAACGGAGUGGCGGACGGGUGAGUAACGCGUGAGCAACCUGCCUUUCAGAGGGGGAUAACGUUUGGAAACGAACGCUAAUACCGCAUGCUGAAAGAUGGGCUCGCGUCCGAUUAGAUAGUUGGCGGGGUAGAGGCCCACCAAGUCGACGAUCGGUAGCCGGACUGAGAGGUUGAACGGCCACAUUGGGACUGAGACACGGCCCAGACUCCUACGGGAGGCAGCAGUGAGGGAUAUUGGUCAAUGGGGGAAACCCUGAACCAGCAACGCCGCGUGAGGGAAGACGGUCUUCGGAUUGUAAACCUUUGUCCUCUGUGAAGCGGUAGCAGAGGAGGAAGCUCCGGCUAACUACGUGCCAGCAGCCGCGGUAAUACGUAGGGAGCGAGCGUUGUCCGGAUUUACUGGGUGUAAAGGGUGCGUAGGCGGCUCGGCAAGUCAGAAGUGAAAUCCAUGGGCUUAACCCAGAACUGCUUUUGAAACUGCUGAACUUGAGUGGAGCAGAGGCAGGCGGAAUUCCCGGUGUAGCGGUGAAAUGCGUAGAGAUCGGGAGGAACACCAGUGGCGAAGGCGGCCUGCUGGGCUCUAACUGACCUGAAGCACGAAGGCGUGGGUAGCAAACAGGAUUAGAUACCCUGGUAGUCCAUGCCGUAAACGAUGAUUACUAGGUGUGGGGCCGUGCCGGAGUUAACACAAUAAGUAAUCCACCUGAGGAGUACGACCGCAAGGUUGCAACUCAAAUGAAUUGACGGA